rnacentral:rRNA from 1 species
CCUACGGGAGACAGCAGUAGGGAAUAUUGCUCAAUGGGGGAAACCCUGAAGCAGCAACGCCGCGUGGAGGAUGAAGGUUUUCGGAUUGUAAACUCCUUUUGUCAGAGAAGAUAAUGACGGUAUCUAACGAAUAAGCACCGGCUAACUCCGUGCCAGCAGCCGCGGUAAUACGGAGGGUGCAAGCGUUACUCGGAAUCACUGGGCGUAAAGGGCGCGUAGGCGGGAUAGCAAGUCAGAUGUGAAAUCCUAUGGCUUAACCAUAGAACUGCAUUUGAAACUGUUAUUCUAGAGUAUGGGAGAGGUAGGUGGAAUUCUUGGUGUAGGGGUAAAAUCCGUAGAGAUCAAGAGGAAUACUCAUUGCGAAGGCGACCUGCUAGAACAUAACUGACGCUGAUGCGCGAAAGCGUGGGGAGCAAACAGGAUUAGAUACCCUAGUAGUC